UAUCCCCCACGCAUUCGAUGCAUUUUUUUUUUGUCUAUAUGGGCUUUCUUUCACUCUCUGUAGCGUGUGGCUCUGGUUUCCCUCGUGUUUCAGUGCCGAAAAGCAACAAAAGCAGCGACAACAACAAAUCCUACUUUCUUUGGUUUUGAUUUUAUGCUGCGGUAGAUUUCCAAAUUCUACUUCACUUGUUUCUGGAACCUUCGACUUAUGGAGCGCAUCGUUGGCGGCAAGUACAAGCUCGGCCGCAAGAUCGGAAGCGGUUCUUUCGGUGAAAUCUACCUCGCUACGCAUAUUGAUACCUUCGAAAUCGUUGCCGUCAAAAUCGAAAAUAGUAAAACAAAGCAUCCACAACUACUUUAUGAAGCAAAACUCUACAAUAUUCUUCAAGGAGGAAGUGGCAUUCCAAGCACAAAAUGGUCUGGCAUUGAUGCGGAGGAUAAUGUGCUUGUUCUUGAUUUACUGGGGCCUAGUCUUGAGGAUCUUUUUGUGUAUUGUGGAAGGAAGUUUUCAUUGAAGACUGUGUUACUGUUAGCCGAUCAAAUGAUCACUAGAAUAGAAUAUGUACAUUCUAAAGGAUAUUUACAUAGAGAUAUUAAACCGGAUAACUUCCUCAUGGGACUUGGUCGGAAGGCCAACCAGGUUUACAUGAUUGAUUUUGGGCUAGCAAAACGAUAUCGGGACUCCGCAACCAAUCGCCACAUUCCUUACAGGGAGAACAAAAACUUAACAGGGACUGCUCGAUAUGCAAGUUGCAAUACUCAUCUUGGGAUUGAGCAAAGUCGACGGGAUGAUUUGGAAUCACUAGGAUAUGUUUUUUUAUACUUCCUUAGAGGAAGCCUUCCAUGGCAAGGUCUAAAGGCUGCCACAAAGAAACAGAAGUAUGAUAAAAUAUGUCAGAAGAAGGUGUCAACUCCUAUCGAGGUACUAUGCAAAUCGCACCCCGUAGAGUUUGCUUCAUACUUCCAUUACUGCCACUCGUUGACAUUUGAUCAACGACCUGAUUAUGGAUUCUUGAAGCGCCUAUUUAGAGAUCUAUUUGCUCGGGAAGGUUAUGAAUUUGAUUACAUUUUUGAUUGGACUAUUUUAAAGUAUCAGCAAUCACAGAAGCAUAUAGUGCAGCCUUCCUUAUCUCCAGUUCCUGGUGCAAAUAACCGACACGCAGUUCCAGUGGAUAUUGACAACCAUCAAGGGCACGGUGAAGAGCGAAUUAGAUCAGGAAAUGCUACUGGUUCUGGUGUUAAAGUGCAGUUUAAACCACCAGCCGGUAGAAACUUGAGCUCACAAAUCCCUCUUGACAAGAAUAUUUUUGGAGAAGCAAGUAUGCCCUCUACUUCAUACUUUCCCGAUGGUACUUCAAAAAGGAACUCUUUGAAGCCUGACUUGUCUGCUGAACCUUCCAACCUUGGACAAGGGCAAGGUAGUAAAAUUGGCACUUCAAGUAGCUGGAUGUCAUCUCUGCAGCGUCUAACUUCUUCCAAAUGAAUAUCAAGCAUGCUUGAAUCGUAUGAAGAUUCGUAGAAUACAUAUAUGAAGCUGCCACGUGGUUGUUUGCUCGCAUCUUCCCCCAAGUGUUUGGUCAAGAAUAUUCAAGUGAUGUACUCAUGGACAUGGAUACGACAAAUGUGCUGGAAGGUUGGCAAAUUGCAUAGCUCCUAAGGUGUAAGGUUAUCGAAAAGUAGAUAAUAUAUUGAUUGAGGAAAAUAUAUGGCUGAAAAGUCACAAAAUAAUGGUUCUUACGAAUUAUUGAAGGACUUUCUUCUACACUAAACAAUUUGCCAUUGCCAUGGAAGCCGCCAUCUACAAGAUCAUACUCGUGAUGCUACUUCUGACAAAUAAAUCAAUCACCAUAAUCACUAUACUAUGGGUGAGAAUGUGUUAAUGAAAUAUUAUAUUGGUAUAACUAAGAUUAUGAAUCAAUAUAACUUAAAUAAUUUUUCGAAAAUAGUUAUUGAUUUCAACUAGAGAAAAAUGUGUUGGCUAAUAGAGAAAAAAUGUGUUAGCUACUAGAGAAAAAUGUGUUAGCUAGUUAUUUUGCUUCAAUACAGUUAUAAAUGAGGUGAUUUCUUUUUACUUUUUGCAAAGUCAUCCAAGUACCAUCUAUCUCUAAAGUUUGUAAAAUUUGUAAUUGAUGUUUUCUA